GCCCCCCGCGCCCGCCCACUGGAGCUCUGCCGCCGGGACGCGCCGCCUCAUUGGCGCCCGCCGCCGCCGCCGGGACAGCCGGGAAAGGGGAGCGCUGCCGGGGGAGGAGGCGCGGCCGGCCGGGGCGGCGCGCGGUGGCGGCGGGCGAGCGGGUCGCGAUCGCCGCCAUCGCCCUUCUCUUCCCUUCUUCUCCCUCUGCUCGGCCUGGGAGGGAGGCGGGUGAGCGCCGGCUGCCGCCAGAGCGAGGCCCGUCGGCUGAGGUAAAAAACCCGGCAAUUCUGAGGUAAAGCCCUGCUAGUGCUGAGGUAAAGUCCCCGCCCCGCCGCACCGGGCCCUUGCAGGGGGCCGGACCCCCCUUCCCAAGGAGGGCAGCGGGCGGGAAGGGGCCCCGGGGCCGGCCGGGCCGUGCGAGGGGCUGCCGGGGGGACCGGACCGACCCGGGCGGGCCCGCGGCUCCCUUGUUUUGCUCCGUAAGGAGAGGCAGGGUUCCUGCGCCCCUUACCCUUGGGUGUCCUCAGCCAGUGCGUGAUUGUUGUCUGAAUCGUUUUGCCUUUUUUUUAUAUAUAAAGUGUAUUUAUAUGUAUAGCGGCCAGCACAAGGACUGCUUGUAAAUAGUAUUGUUAAAUAUCAUAAACCUUGUUUAAAUUUAUUUAACUGCUGGCUUGGUGUUUGGCAGUUGAGGGUUUUUUUUUGCCGAAAUACAACUAAUGGUGUUAAUAUGUCUACUACGUUUGAAAAUACUCUCCACUGUUUCCCCUCUAUUUCUGACAGAAAAAAAAAAAAAAGACUCACACGAGCAGCAGUCCUCCUGUGUUGACAUGACCAAAACCCUUUGAGGUACAGUAAUUUCUCUAGGCAAUGAGCUCAAGGGCAGUUUGAGGGCUGGUUGCUUGCAUGGGUCAGUCACGUCCCCCUGUUUGUGCAGGUAGUGAGUGCCUAGACCCUCUAAACGUUACUAAUCUUAUAAAGAAUACUUCUUGCCCCCCUCAGUUUCUUGUCUCAGUUUACCCUCCAGGUAUGUGAGUACUAAUAUUGGCAUAACAAGGAGGUGGGACGGUGGCAGACUCCAUUUAGAGUGGUUUAAGCUGUUGUGAAACUACUUUCAAAAUUGCUAAUUCUCAGCCAGCACCCAAGACCGGACACAGUACUACAAUUAAGGCCUCAACAACACCGGCAUCUGCUGUCAUGCCUGUCACAGACUACGCUCCUGUUUACAUGUGCCAAUACAAACACUUUUGAGUCAGUAUGAUCUAUUCACAAUUCUGCUGACCUGUUUUAACCCCCACAUCCAUUUCUGCUGACCUACCAAGACAGUUAUUUCUCCCUCAAGUAGACAGUAAUGCUACUUGAGAAAUGAGUUACUGCAACAACCCUAAUGCUAUCCCUUCAUUUCUGUUGCUGGCCAGAUUGACAGUCAAGACAUCUUUUAAAAUAAAAUUCCACAUGAUUUUACGUCAGAAAAAUGUAGAAUUUGUCAUCCUUUGUAAAUCGAUUGCAUUUCUCAGAAGAAUUGUAUUUAAAAACCAGAACUUCGCUAAGAUUGAACUGUGCCACAGUUACAGAAUGGUUGCAUAACUCUAAAUUUAGAAGAGAGAUUUGUACAUAUUUGCAAAUAUUUAAAACUUUAAAUUCACUUUAAGCAGCUUAAACCGAACCAGCUGAAAUAAUCUAAAUGCAAGUAAGGGUUGAUAACAAAGAAUGUAGGUUGGGGGGAUUUAUGCUAAUAUAAGGUAAAAUUUGGCAAAACCAGCAUAACUUCCUGUUGCCCCCAUCAGUGAAGGACAGAACCUGCAGAUGCACGUGUUUUGCUUUGUGAUAUGUACUUUAUUCUGUUAGUUGUGUUUGUCAGUGACACACGUUAAUUCUCAGGUGUAUUCACUCUCCUGUGUGCUGCUUUUGAUCUGGACUGAACGGUGCAAUGGGCAGCUCAUAAAGUUAUCGAUAGCGUACUCUGCCAAAGGGAAGUUCUAGCACAGUCUGAUGGCUAGGCUGGCUUUUUAGGUGAAGUAGAGUGUGCCAUUUCAUAUGGUUGUACUUUGGUCUUCCCAGUAUGAAAUGAAAUCCAUCUUUGUAAAACACUAAAAAUCUAAAACUCAAGCAUGUGAUGUGGGUAUUUAUUAAAGUAACGGCCACAGAAGGGAUAAAAGCCAAGACUGCUGUCCAAGUUCACUAUCCUGUCUGCACAGAGUUUUUCACUUCUCAUUCUGUCUUUUUAUAACAGCUACAGAAUUAGUUCUUCAGUAUAGCUGAACAAGCUGGUAAAUAAUGCAUUCAGCUAGUUUAUUUUGUAUAUGAAAAAUGCAUCAUGUGGUAUGUCUUGUCCAUUUUGAUUGUAUAAAGCAUUUUUAUGAUGUGUUUUAUAUCAGGUGAUGUUUAUAUGGUAACAAUUAAAUAAAAAUACAGGCUUUAUCAGUUAAUAAACAGAAAUCUUACCUUUUAUUCAUCACUUGGCCAGCAGAGUUUACAGAAUUGCCUUCCCUUUUAUUUCUAGAUUGCUUUCUUUUUUCUACUUUGGUCUGUAAUGUCUCCAUCAGUAAGGAGAUUUAAGACCACAACAUAAGAAAACUGCUAACAUUUCAAAGGGGCACUGUUACAUGUCCUCCUCCUAUUCUCUGUUUAGUCUGUAUUUUGAAAAAAUUGCUACUUUAAAAAUGAUUACAUGAAUCCCAAGCAGAGACAGAGAAGAAAUAAGUACUACAGGUGUUUUAUGUAGGUGUGUAUUCACUUAUAUUUAUGUGUUUGUAUAAAUAUUUAUAAUAUCAACUUGCAAGAAUAAAAAUUAACUGUCAUUAGGUAAAGUUCACGUGACCAACAUCUCACAUACAAGUGUGCAGGAGUAUAUAUAAAAAUAUGCGUUCAAUACCUGCAACCCUUCCUGAAGAUCUGCAAGCAAUAAUAAGUUCUUUUGAUCAGUGUUUUUCUGCUGCUAUGAAAGGCACAAGACCAGCCUAUCCUCUUUAAAAGUUACACUGCCUUACUGUCCUACAAAAGGGAUUUUUAAAAAUAGUAUAGAAAGGAAUUUUCAGGGCCGGCUCCUCAGCAGUCAGGUAAUGUCCUUUUUAGCACCUGAACAGUCAGAACAGCUAUCAAGAGUCCUCCAAAACAGAAAUUUUUGUACCAGUGACUCAGAUUUGUGCCGCUUCGCCUUUUUUUUGUGUGACUGAAGUUCCACUGUAGACCAUCUGUUAUGGCCACCCAGGCAGGAGUACGGAGCUUGCAUCCGCGUUGGCAUUCUGCUCUCCGCAUAGCGGCUCAUCAGACAGGAUUGCUACGUAGACACCACCAUGGAUGUCCUGCUCCAUUGGGUGAUAAACAUAAGUGGAUCUAGCUGGAGUUGUAAACGUUUCACGUAGCACAUCUGAUGUGUAUUUGUCUACUGUAAGGGUCACGUAAUGCUACAUAAAGGUUCUCCUAUAUGUCAAAAGGAGCAUUAUCAGGGGUACCAUGGGAUUAGUACAGAUAUUCCCUGUUCCAAUACUAGUAAGCAAGAAAAGACUUGAUCUCCCCAGAGAACUAAUUAUUCAGACCAGCAGGAAAAAGGCCAGAAAGAAAAAGCGUUAUGGAGGAAGCAGCAGCGCCGUUUGAAGAAGCAAAUCAGCAUGUGAACAAGGCUUUUCUGAUACAUCUUUUAACAAAAGUGAACACAGUGGAAUACCGCAUCAAAGUAACUGUCCUGCUCCAUCCAUUUGAUUGAAACAGCACAAUCUGAGAUUUUUUUGUUUACAUUUGAAUCAAAUUCAUGUCUAACAAAAAAAUGUUCUGUUUAGUCUGUUUACCCUGGAGUUGACUUCUGAUUCAUGUGUUUUACAUUUUGGGCAGGAAUGGUAUGUCCAGCUUUUGGACAACAUUUAUAAUCACAGUACCAAGUUUCUGUAAUAAUAAGCAAGUGCUUAUUAUGUGGACUUUUCACCUAUUGCUCCUCCUUGUAUCAGCUAUGUGAUAACACUGUCAGUGCCCUCAGGAGCUGAAUUCCUGAUGCAUGUGUGGGGAAGGGUUUUGGGGUCAUAGACACAAUUACCCGAAUGGGAACUAAUUCUUCCUCUCUGUGUAUAGACACUGCGUCAUUUGAAGUCUGUUUCUGUAGUCAACGUGGCAAGAUAAGUAGGAGCUUGCUCGCCUCUGCAGCUGGCUAGCUGCCUCCUCCUAGCACAGCGCUGCUUUCACUUAUUCCCCAACUCACUUUUUUUGUUCCUAUUUUGUUCCCCUCCCCCAGCGUUUUAACUUGCUUUCAGGCCCCAGGCACUCCUUUAAGCCUAGAUUUCUGAAUUUUUUGUUAACUUCCCUUCUCUGCCUGUUUACCUGUGCUGCCUUCGGGUUCUGCGGUGUGUUCCUCAGCCAACCUCCCCUCGCCAACUGUAGCGCCGCAACCGCCACUGAAGGUUCCAGCGCUCCCCGCUUCUCUCCCGGGGCAGCCGCCCACGGGGCUGCCUCUGGCGCCUGAAACUGCGCCUGGAAACAGAGUGCCUGCCCGUGUGUUACGUGGUCCCCUGCACCCCUGGGGUAUCUCUGAUUCCUAAGAGAAAAGGGGUCGGUGUCCAAUUCUUCGCCUUGUGAUCAAGGCUCCUUGUUGCAGUUAUCUCUGCGUUUAAUGCGUUAAAAGCUAAUGUACGCACUGUUAUGAUCUCCUGGUAUAAAGCCAUCUCUUCAGAUGAGCACCCUCCACUGUGGCCCAGCUUCCUACAUGGCCACCCCCCAAAAUGAACACAUAAGUAAAAUACCAGUGUGGGCUGAAGGUGUCCAGCAGCGCUUCAAGUGUAUGAACUGCUGCUCUUAUAGCGCUUCCCAUGUCUCCAGCGAAGUACCUACCAGCUCCCUCCCAAGCUUAGUGCAUCUCUCAUGGUUACAGCAGCAGUUGAUAAAACACUUGAGGUUUUCCCCAAGUACAGACACCCUGACGAAGGAGUGGGCUGAGAGAGAAAUAUCUUGUUCUCUUUGUUAUAACGAAGAACAAGCAAGUAUUCGUCUUGUGGUUUUUUCAGCUUGCCUAAUCUUUAUCUCAUAGUACAGCUUAAACCUAUUAGAUACUUUUACAUUUAAAAUUUUCAGAUCAUGGCAAAUGAAAGUGUUCUUCCAUAGUCUGUAGCUCAGCUCAGUGUUGUAGGGACUGCUUAAUAUCAGGGGAGUCUUAAAUAAGUUUAAAAUAUAAGUCCUAGUGGGUUCCAGAGCUUGUGGUAUGAAGCUGGGCUGAGGAAGGGCUGUACAUGUGCCAAGGGCACUUCCACAGAGCUUUUGAACAACUUGUUAAGAGGCGUCAGGAGAAAAGCUGCUUGGAAAGAAGUGGCUGAGUGUUAGUCACAAUUCUAAAGACAAAUCCUCCUGGGAGCCUGCUGCAUGAGCACGAGUGCCCUCACGCUGAGCGAAACAAAGUAGUCCCCUCCACCUCCACGGGGAGCAGGGGUUAGCCAUAAGCAGUACGGGCACAGGCUAGUCAGCACGGCUGUCUGUCCCUGGCUGGCGGACACAGCAGCAGAGACAUUACUGUAUGGCAGCACUGGCAAGGAAUCUGUAUGAAUUCUGCUGAAAGUGGAAGGACAGGAAAAUAAAGACUAUAUAAGAGCAUUCUCUAAAAUCUUCCCAGAUCCACUGUCAGGGUUAAAACAGAUAGGAUAAUUUCACCACUGAGAAAAUGAUGUGAAUAAGGAGGCUUGUACUUCUUCUAUGACCCUGCAGAGGAAUUACAGAUACCCUACAAAUUACUAGUAAGACAGGACUUCACAGGAGACAGGAACUGGAGCUGAAACCCAAAAGCUAAAAAUCCUAGAAAAAGGCAGGAAUUUCUUAGAUUUAGACAGAAAUUAGCAAAGGACCACCUAAACAACCUCCUGGCUAAGCAGACCACACAAAGAUUACUGAAACAACAACAAAUAUGGUGUUCUUCUGUGCAAGUGCUGGAAGCCUGAAAACUUAGUUGAGGAGAUGAUAAUGUCUCAUUUUACAGGAGCAUGCUGGUAGAACUGAUUUUUAGGAAACAGAAGGAAUGGCAUUAAAGCCUCUCCAGUAUGUGAUGACAAAAAGAGUUGAGAAUGCUCAGAUUAGGAAAGGAAUAGCGAAUGAAUCAGGAAACAUCAUUUUACCAUUGUACAAAUCCAUCGUGCAUCCUUGGUUAUCUUUAACUCUGCGUAAUUUGGUACAGACUGUAUUUAGGAAAGAAUAUAGAGAAAGGCAAGAAAUACAAUGGCUUGGUGCAAUUCCCACCCAAGGAGAGGAUUAAUUCAUUGGGGAUCUUGAGCUCAGAAGAAAAUAUGUCAGGCUGAAUUUGCUAGAGGUCUGUCAAGGUCUUUGAUGGAAUGGAGAUGGGCAAAUGAGCGACUUAUUUUUCAAAACUGCUUUGUAAUAUUUGUUCUUGUGUUUUCUGGCAAGAUGGAAUAUUACAAGCUUUCACAUCGUGUUAUAGAGGCAAAAAGUAUGAACAGGUUCACAUAAAGCCGAAUUUUAAAAACCGGAUGCCCAAGGGCACCAAGGAGAAAUUAAAUUGUCCUUGUACUUUAACAGGCUACCAUAAUUACAACAUACAUUACAUAUGCAACACAUUAAUGAGUUAGAAGCUUAUUUGCCACCAAAUAAAAAGCACCGCUAUCAACUUUAAAAAUCUGUUCUAUAGAGAAGUCUAGAUACCAGAUUUAGGGUAAGAUAACUCAGUAAAUAUAGAAGAAUUUCAGCCAAUAUAAAAUCUGUGGUAUGUUAUGAUAAGAUUUGGCAUAUUAUAAUUAUUGAGCGGCUUCUUUGACAUGCUAUCCAUUCCCCACACUUAGAGAAUUUUCAACAUUAUCCAGUGUCAGGUGGGUCCCAGAAGAAUUUAUAGCAAGAAUCAAUAGCCAAGACUUGAAUGAGAGAAGAUCAAAAAUAGAGUUGAGAUUUUCCUUUUUAAGAUGCAAGGAGGAGUUAAAACCAUGAUUUGCUAAGGCACCAAGCGGCACCAGCAGACACCUCUGGAAAAUUAAUCUUAAGCUAUCUUUAGUACAUUCAAAGAAAUUGUGGCUCCCACUUGAGCCAUUUCAGCUCAAAUACAGAUAAAAAAUAAUCAGAUCACAUAGACUGUUCACUCGUCUUGAAUAAAUAAAUAUUUAACGGAACUGUGCA